rnacentral:ncRNA from 1 species
CUACUUUUGGAAGGGAUGCAUUUAUUAGAUAAAAAGUCGACAUAAGCUUUGCCCGUUGCUAUGAUGAUUCAUGAUAACUUGACGAAUCACACGGCCAUCGUGCCGGCGACGCAUCAUUCAAAUUUCUACCUUUAUCAACUUUCGAUGGUAGGAUAGUGGCCUACUAUGGUGGUGACGAGUGAUGGAGAAUUACGGUUUGAUUCUGAAGAGGGAGCCUAAGAAAUGGUUCCCACAUCCAAGGAAGGCAGUAGGCGCGUAAAUUACCCAAUCUUGACACGGGGAGGUAGUAACAAUAAAUAACAAUACCAGGCUCUUUAAGACUGGUAAUUGGAAUGAGUACAAUCUAAAUCCCUUAAUGAGGAUCCAUUGGAGGGCAAGCCUGGUGCCAGCAACCGCGGUAAUUCCAGCUCCAAUAG